GGACGAACGCUGGCGGCGUGCUUAACACAUGCAAGUCGAACGGAAAGGCCCUGCUUGCAGGGUACUCGAGUGGCGAACGGGUGAGUAACACGUGGGUGAUCUGCCCUGCACUUCGGGAUAAGCCUGGGAAACUGGGUCUAAUACCGGAUAGGACCAUCGUUUAGUGUCGGUGGUGGAAAGUUUUUUCGGUGUGGGAUGAGCUCGCGGCCUAUCAGCUUGUUGGUGGGGUAAUGGCCUACCAAGGCGUCGACGGGUAGCCKGCCUGAGAGGGUGGACGGCCACAUUGGGACUGAGACACGGCCCAGACUCCUACGGGAGGCAGCAGUGGGGAAUAUUGCACAAUGGGCGCAAGCCUGAUGCAGCGACGCCGCGUGGGGGAUGACGGCCUUCGGGUUGUAAACUCCUUUCAACCAUGACGAAGCUUUCGGGUGACGGUAGUGGUAGAAGAAGCACCGGCUAACUACGU
rnacentral:rRNA from 1 species